GUGUCAGAUUUGAAAAAAAAUUCCUUUCCUGACCAUGUUCUUGGGAGAAAAAAGGAGAGAUUUAGACACCGUUCCAGCAACAUUUGUGGAAAGCUCAUGAGAACUGGAAAAUACUUCAUUUGUAAGAGGAAAAUGGGGAGUCACAUCUAGCAAAUACACAGGUUUUGCUCUCAAACCUGGAUACCAGACUGCCUGCAGCAAUGGAAUUCCC